UGGUUUUGUCUCAAGUCAAACUUUUCUAAGUUUGACCAAAUUUAUACAAAAAAUUACUAUUUUUUAUGAAACCAAAUAAACAUACUAUAUGAAAAUAUAUUUCAUCAUAAAUCUAAUUAUACUUAUUUGGUUCCAUAAAAAAUAGUAAUUUUUGUAUAAAUUUGGUCAAACUUAAAAAAGUUUGACUUCAGACAAAACUAA
rnacentral:pre_miRNA from 1 species